rnacentral:lncRNA from 1 species
GGAGCAUGUAUAUACAAGGCAAGACAUUUUUUAAACAUUGAAAGGUAAACAAAAAUAAUCGUCCUGUUACCAGAAAUAUCUCUUGGUAUAGCCAAAGAUGAGUAAAGUGGCCACAGGUCUGGGUGAAGUAAAGGUGGUAAAACUUGGGACUUAGGACAGGAUACUGAGAAACAUUGUUUUAAAGAGUCAUAAAAUCAUAUAUGAUCAGUGUAUAAUCUCAGUUUCAGGAGUUAGAAGAAAUUUUCAAGAAACUAUUGGGCCUCUUCAAAAAAAUACCAGAAAAUGUGCCAUUUUUGAAGUAGAAACAGAAAGCCAUAAUGAAAGAACAGGCCAAGGGUCAAGUGAUUUCAGGCCAAGAAACAAAAGCAAAAUUGUCUCAUUCCCCAGUGCAUUCAGAUGAAAACUGAUAAUAAAAUCAGGUACAGUUCCAAGAGGAGACACUGGAGAGGAACCACGCUGGGUCUGUAAGGAAUUGCAAAUGAGAUGGCACACAUAUUUAUGCUGUAUCAAGGUCACUGUCAUCUUACCAUAUCAGACUGAAAAUGUCACCACCAUCUGGACAGUCAGAUAUGUUUUAUUGGGAAAAUGGUUUUUCUCUUUGUGUAUAUGCUCUGCAGUAGUAGGGUGGUUUAGUAACAAAUAUGUGAG